rnacentral:rRNA from 1 species
AAUAUUGGUCAAUGGAGGCAACUCUGAACCAGCCAUGCCGCGUGCAGGAAGACGGCCCUACGGGUUGUAAACUGCUUUUAUACGGGAAUAAACCCUCCUACGUGUAGGAGGCUGAAUGUACUGUAAGAAUAAGGAUCGGCUAACUCCGUGCCAGCAGCCGCGGUAAUACGUAGGAUCCGAGCGUUAUCCGGAGUUAUUGGGUUUAAAGGGUGCGUAGGCGGCCUGUUAAGUCAGGGGUGAAAUUUUUCGGCUCAACCGGAAGCUUGCCUUUGAUACUGAUGGGCUUGAUUAUACUUGAGGUAGGCGGAAUGUGACAAGUAGCGGUGAAAUGCAUAGAUAUGUCACAGAACACCGAUUGCGAAGGCAGCUUACUAAGGUGUGAAUGACGCUGAGGCACGAAAGCGUGGGGAUC